UACAGAGGGUGCGAGCGUUAAUCGGAAUUACUGGGCGUAAAGCGCGCGUAGGUGGAUACUUAAGUCGGAUGUGAAAGCCCUAGGCUUAACCUGGGAACUGCAUUCGAUACUGAAUAUCUGGAGUAUGGUAGAGGAAAAUGGAAUUCCCGGUGUAGCGGUGAAAUGCGUAGAUAUCGGGAGGAACAUCAGUGGCGAAGGCGAUUUUCUGGACUAAUACUGACACUGAGGCGCGAAAGCAUGGGGAGCAAACAGG
rnacentral:rRNA from 1 species